rnacentral:rRNA from 1 species
CAAUAGCGUAUAUUAAAGUUGUUGCGGUUAAAAAGCUCGUAGUUGGAUUUCUGAUGGGAGUGGCUGGUCCGCCCUUAUGGGGUGUGAACUGUGCUUACUCUCGUCAUCCUUGGGGAAAGCCUUCCUGGCAUUAAGUUGUCGGGUUGGGGAUCCUCAUCGUUUACUGUGAAAAAAUUAGAGUGUUCAAAGCAGGCUUACGCCGUUGAAUACAUUAGCAUGGAAUAAUAAGAUAGGACUUUAGUACUAUUUUGUUGGUUUGCGUACCAAAGUAAUGAUUAAUAGGGACAGUUGGGGGUAUUCGUAUUCAGUUGUCAGAGGUGAAAUUCUUGGAUUUAUUGAAGACGAACUACUGCGAAAGCAUUUACCAAGGAUGUUUUCAUUAAUCAAGAACGAAAGUUAGGGGAUCGAAGACGAUCAGAUACCAU